GACGAACCGUGCGAACGUUGUUCGGAAUCACUGGGCUUAAAGGGCGCGUAGGCGGGCUGUCAAGUCUGGGGUGAAAUGCCGCGGCUCAACCGUGGAACUGCCUUAGAUACUGACGGCCUCGAGGAAGGUAGGGGCAUGCGGAACUGUAGGUGGAGCGGUGAAAUGCGCAGAUAUCAGGAGGAACACCGGUGGCGAAGGCGGAUCUCUGGGCCUUACCUGACGCUGAGGCGCGAAAGCUAGGGGAGCAAACAGG
rnacentral:rRNA from 1 species